UAUAAGUUUUCGCAGGAAAUAUGGCAGCUAUGAUGAAUUUAUACAAUAACAUACAACUUCGCUUAGAUCCAUAUUCAGAUCCUUUUAGAGGUGAAUUAAUGGAAGUUCUUGAACCUUUUAUCAAAAGUCCUUCUCCGAAUUCAACACCAUCACCUUCUUCUUCUUCUUCUUUCCAUUCUUUCUACAAUGAUGGUUGUUCAACAUCGAUGACCCAUGGAUUUACCAACGGGUUAUCGAAUAGCCAGAACUUCAUAGGCUUUGUUCAACAACCAUCUUCUUCUUCUCUUCUUGGUCUUAACCAUUUGACCCCAUCUCAAAUCAACCAGAUCCAAGCACAAAUCCAACACCAAAACUUUACCUUGCAACAACAUCAACAACAGCAACGUCUCAGUAACACUCUUAGCUUCCUCAGUCCGAAGCCAAUCCCUAUGAAGCACGUGGGUAAUACUCCUUCAAAACCCACGAAGCUAUACAGAGGGGUGAGGCAAAGGCACUGGGGAAAAUGGGUUGCUGAGAUCAGACUCCCUAAGAAUCGAACCAGGCUUUGGCUUGGUACCUUUGAUACAGCAGAAGAAGCUGCUUUGGCUUAUGACAAAGCUGCUUAUAAGCUUCGUGGUGACUUUGCUAGGCUUAAUUUCCCGAAUCUCAAACACCAAGGUUCAUGUAUUGGUGUCGGUGAGUUUGGUGAGUAUAAACCUCUUCCUUCCUCGGUUGAUGCUAAACUUCAAGCUAUUUGUGAAGGUUUAGCUGAGAUGCAGAAACAGGGGAAGUCAGAGAAGCCUAAAAAAACACCAGCGGCUCGGUCCAAAGCUGCGUCGAAGGUGGUACCUUCGCCGGAGACGGUGGAGAAGUCUGUUGAUGAUUUGGAGAAGGGUUCUGGUUCAGUUUCAGAAGGGUGUUGUAAGGUUGAAGCUUCGAUUUCUCCGGUGAUGACCGAGACCGAGAGUGAAGGUUCUUCACCACUUUCAGUUCUUACUUUUGGUGAUGUUGGUGAACCACAGUGGGAAGGUGAUUCGGAAAAUUUUAAUUUGCUGAAGUACCCCUCUUAUGAGAUUGAUUGGGAUUCUCUGUGAAGUUUAGUGUCCUUAUAUGUAAUUUUUUUAUAAAUUUUCUAGUGAAGAUUCUCAUGUCAUGCAUGUAACUAGAUUUUAGUUUCUUAGAAAAGUGGUUACUGCAAUGGAAUUUUUGACAAUUGCAGUGCUACUACUUUAAGUAUAUUAUUGUAAAAUCUCUUGUUACCUUGUUCACAGCUGGUUUUUUUCUUGCUUGGCCGGGAGAAGAGAAGACACUUGUUAUGUUUAUCAGUGUUCAUAUUUGUAGCUGAAUCUAUUUAUGAAAUAUAAGUAUAAAUAUUGUAGUAGUGUAGUGUUUUGUUUCUAGUUAUGUUGUUCUAUUUGUUAGAUCUACAAUCAUAUCUUCGAUGGAGUUAAAAAAAAUCAUCUGAACUCACUAUCUCAUUAUUUUGGAGAUUAUUUCCAAUACAAAUUGUCUUAAAUGGAUGUGCGCAGAGUUGGCCAACUGUGCCGAUCCCCAAUAAUUGCAUGAUACUGUUAAAUUAACUCCUCCUACCUACCUCGACAAUAUCAAAUCUAACCAGUUAAAUUUAAGAGUGAAAUUUUAAACAAUGCUAGUAUAAAUAUAAAAUUUAUACGGUCUCAUCUUGAUCUUAACAAUUUUUUAAGCAGUCAAAUAUAGCCGGCCUCUUAACAAUUAGCCUCAUAUAUUAUUGGAUUUGCCUCUGUCCGAAGGGAUCCAAAAUCGCACCAUUUUGAACACUCCAUGGACUUGCCUAUGUCGGAAGGGAAUCCAAAAUCACACCAUUUUGAAUAAAAAGUAUGGUUUGAAGAUGUAUAUUUAUAUAUUAUUUGGAUGUAUUUGAAGAUGCAUCUCUAAAAUAUCUCUUGUAUAUAUUUAUGAUGUUUUUAUUCACUGAACUAUUUUAUUUAGAGACUUAAUGAUGUUUCCAGAGAUUCAUCUUCAAAAAUAUUAAGCGGAGAUUUGGAUAAAAUCAGUUUUUCAACAACGAAGCAUCAUUCAUGUAUUUCAUCACAUCAAAGAUUCCAAAAGAAGUUGGAAUUGUAAGUAAAAUUCAUUCAUUUCAUCCCUCAUUCCUUGCAUUAAUGUGAUUUUUGAGUUGAAAAUAUGAACUUCGAGUCCAUAUAUGUAUCUCUGGACAAAGUUUGGUGUGGUACAAAUAUGGAUCUCCGUCUUUGCCUGAUACUUUGAAUCUUAAAAUAUGUUUUUUUAUGUUAUUUGUUGUAUUAGAUAUGGUGCAUUUGAAUAUAUUUUCCAAAGCUAUUGUGACCAUGAAUGUUAAACUAUAUGAAGUGAACGAUUAUGUUAGACCAAAUGAUGUUAAAUCGAUUGAUCGACCCGUUGUUGUCGAGGUAGAUAUUCGUGCAUAAUUUACAAAUAAGCAAGAGUUUAUGGAUCGUGAACAUAUGCUACAAUAGGUCGUAUGGAGGUUGGGAAAUUGGGGUUUGGCAUUGUAAUCGGAAGAUCCAACAAUGGUUCGAAUAAAAGACAAACAUUUGUAACAAUGAGAUGCGAAAAAAGUUGCAGUACCAACCACAAAUUAGGAAGUUGAAACGAGAUGACACUGAAUCAAGAAUAUGUGAGUAUCUGUUUAAAUUGCGCGAUUACCAUAUGGCAGAUGACACCAGGAAAUUUAAUGUGAUUUCCGGUAUACAUAAUCAUGUCUUGACUAACAAGCUAGCCAGUAAAUCCCAUUGUAUAUCGCCUUAUUCUAGAGGAAAGGGAUCUUGUUUCAGACAUGACAUUAGACAUAGUGGCGUCGAAAAACAUACUCGCAUCUUUGAAACAAAAAUGAACUCUAAAUAUUUUAAAUAUCAAGCAAAUAUACAACAUGCGUGCUCGAAACAACAAGGCAGUAUGAGGACCAAGAUUUGAGAUGCAACAACUAUUGAAGCAUUUGGAAGAUGACCACUAUGUUUCUAAGUAUAGAGUUUGUGAGGAUAAAGUCACCGUUCGAGGUAUAUUUUGGAGUCAUCCCGAUUCCAUCAAAUUGUUCAACACAUUUUCCACCGUGCUUAUAAUUGAUUCAACAUACAAAACAAACAAGUAUAUAUUUUCACUCCUAGAAAUUGGUGGUGUUACUUAUACGGAGAUGACAUAUUCAGCCGAUUUUGCAUUUUUGGAAUCCGAAAAGAGGACAAUGUUACAUGAAUUUGGAAAUGUGCAAGACUAUGUUAAAAGACCAAGAGAACAUGCCACAAGUAUUAGUCACCAAUCAUGACACCACACUGAUGAAUUCGAUUCCAAUUAUGUUUUCUACAUCGUAUGCAUCACUUUGUAAGUAUCACAUAAUAAAAAAAUGUGAGAAGUCGACAAAAACCUGCGUUUGACAAAAAAAAAAUCAAAGGUAACGAUGAAAAAAUGGUCAAACCCAGUGUCGUGGUGGAAAAGAUAGUGGAUGCAUGAAAUGGCAUAAUAAAUUCUUCCACGGAAGAAUUAUAUACCGAAUCUGUAAUACAUUUUAGGAAGGUGUGCGUGAGAUAUCCAGAUUUCAUGAAAUAUGUUAAGGGCACUAUUUUGGACAAGGUAAAAGAGAAGAUUGCUAGUGCAUGGACCGAUCAGGUUAUGUUAUUUUUCCAUUCUGCCAUUGGUCCUGGUUGUUUUUGGUUUGAACUAACAGAGUAUAUUCCAGAGAUGCAUCUCUGGAAAACUCAUUGAAUAUUGAACAGAGGGGUUUACGAAGAUGCAUCUCCAAACUUAAUUUUAAUAGAACAAGGGUUUCUCAACAAUUUCAUCUGAGGUGCGUGAAAAGGUGGGUUCGGAGACAGUUGUGACUUUUCACGGAGGUGGGGUUGCAAUCAUAAGGGUGGAAAGAGUAAUUAUCUCUUUUUAGGCAGGUAAAGACAUGCCAAUCCAACGUAUUUUGAAGAAGAAAUUUUAUUUAUGCUAUUUAAAAAAUAAUAUUUAAUUAAUAAUUAAAUCAGUUUUUUAAAUAAAUUCUUUUUAUGGUUUUAUAUAUAAUAAUAAUUUUUAUUAUUGUUCAGAGCUGGCUAAAAGUCUAAAUAGUUAAGGCCUAAUCCAUCUCAAAUUCACUCCACCUAACCAACGGUAUGAAACUAGUGCAUAAGAAAAACAAAGUACAUUAUCUAAUCUCCAUUUUUCAAUAUACUUAUCUCGAAUCUCGAUUUGACUUGGGCGUUGAAGUGCUAACUUUGCAGGUCCAUCCCAUGCCGGCAUAUUAUAGAUCAACACUACCGUUUCAAGACAUUUAAUUUUCCAAAUGCAUCUAUUUUUGGUUCCACAAUUGUAUCAUAUAUGGGAAUCGACUUCUGAUUUAUGCGAAAUUACAUUACCGGAUCAAUCUCGAUAUUAAGCCAACUCUCUAUCGGAAAUAAGAGAGUAGAGGCGGUAAAUUCGAUAGUCAUGUCAAGGUUCAUUAAUCCAUCUCUUGCAUCAAUCAUCAACCAGUUAUCACCGAUCAACGAAUUCCACAACAUUGCAUCAUUUAACACCCAUAUACAUCUUACCCACUUAGGUUCUUUAAAUAGGGUCCAUAACACCGCAGUUUUUGAGUUAUUAUUUUGACUGAUUUAUUUGUAUUUUAAUUUAUUUAUCACGUGCGAUAGUUGAAUUGAUUUGGAUGUGUGUGACCUUGAGGUGGGAGUGUAGAGAGUAAGUAGAAGUUAGUGAAGUUUAUUUAGGAUAAUUGGAAUUUAUUUUAAUAAUUAAAAUAAUACUAUUUUAUGGAAUUUAUUUAAUUAAAAUAAGAAUCUAGAGAGUUUGGGUGAAAUUUGUGAAUUAAGAGAAAUAUAGGGGAGGAAGGAGUAAGAGUAAUUGUUAGUAAGGGAGAGAAUUAUAGUUAUGACUAGAUUACCCUAGUUAUAUAAGGUUAAGAUAUAACCUAGGUUUAAGGAUUUUCCUAUCAGUGCAUGAAACGAGGAUUAGAGGCACAAAUGAGAUAUAAGGUUAGAGCUUUGGAGAGAAUGGAAGAACAAUCAGAGACCAGAAUUUUGCUAUUACUGCUAGGAAAACCAGGUAAGGGGGGAGAAUUGAUUCAAUAAUGGGUAUAUGCUUGAGGGGUAGAAUGAAGGAGUUCUUAACCUCCAUAAGGAUUCUUUGAGUCUUCAUAAAAUUCUGAUCUUGUGAAAAAUGAUUGAAUUGAUGUUUAUGUUGUUAGAUAUUAAAUUUGUGCAUUGUAAUAUGUAUGAAAUUAUGUUUUAAUUUGUGGAGGAAAGUUCACCAUUGUUGGGUGUUUGAAGGUUUGGGAAUAGCAUGAAUAUAUGAAAACCAUGAAAUAAAUGUAUUGAUUUGAUGAAUUUGGGUGUUGUUGAUGAUUAUAUAACAUGUAUAUGCUAUUAUGGGUCGAAUUUGUAUGAUUGAGACAGGAGUAUUGGAGUUCUGCAGUGAACUCCAUUUAGUAGAACAAAUUCUGCAACUUUCAAGGUAAUGACGGGCAUCACCACUGUGACGGGUAACCCGUCAUUCUGCCCAUGCUUGUGCUUCAAAUGGUCGUCAUUUGAGUGACAAUUUGGAUGUUUAGGGUUGGUGACAGGCGUCACUACUGUGACGGGUAACCUGCCAUGGGUCUGCAGUGAGUGCAAAUGCUCGUGUUGAUGAUAUUAAAUGUCAAAUUUUGACUUUUUGACUUUUCUGGAUGUUUUGGGUACUAUUAUACUAUGUUAGUUGUUGGUUUAAAUGAUGUUGGUAUGAUUUAACGAUUAAACACAAUUUUAAUUGAAUUUAAGAAGUAUUUGAUGAAUGUUGGAUAUGGUAUACAUGAGGAUGAUAUUGUGUUAAUUUGUAUGAAUUGUAAUGAUGAUAUGUUGUUGUAUUAGCAUGAAUUACGUUGUUGAAUUGUGAGUAUGUUGUUGUGGGAUGAUAGUUCGAGAGGGAAACUAUUAUCGUUGGGUCAAUGCAUAUUUUGUUUAUUGCUGGGAGGGGAAUUUAAACAUUAUGUUGUUCUUGAAUUGACGUGUUGUGACAUGCAUUCAUUAUGUCGCUGUUGUUGAUGAAAAAGGCAAGGUGCAAUUCUAAUAGGGUGGAUUAGUGACUUGUCUUGAAUCUGAGCAGGGUGGAUUAGGGAUUUGAGUAGGGUGAACCUGGUUCCUGAGUGAGCUAAUUAAUGAUGAUAUGGUACCAUAUGUGUGUAUUUGAAGUUGUUAGUCUCAUUGCAUAAUUGAAUCGAUGAAUAUGUGAUUGCAUUGUGUAUGAUGAUGGAUUGGAUGUGAGAAUAAUGUUGUGAGAUUGAUAUGGAUUGUGUAGAUGUUUGAAUUCUACUUUACAGCUUAUGCCGUUAAUUUAUUGAUGUGAAUUCUCACCCCCUUUGCUUUGAUGUUGUCCACCAUGGACAUCUUACAGAUACCGAGGAGUAGAGUUGCUACUAUGAGUGAGGAAUAACUCUUGGAGUUAUUUCCAUUUAGUUUCUUUGUUAUUUAGUGGAUAUGCUCUGAUCAUAUAACAUUGGGUCUGGGGCGUUUGUUUUACUUGUUAAAUUCGAAUUAAUGUCUUGAGGAGUUUUUAUGACGUUAUUUUGAAGUUGAGAACAAACAUAAUUUUGUCGAGUAUUUUAAUUUGAUUAUCCGCUGCUAUUUAAAUAAAGUUGAGAUGUUUUGAAGUUGGUAAUACUUUAAUCAGCGUAUAAUGCUUGUUAUAUAAGUUUUGCGGUUAGGGUGUUACAAUAGUGAUAUCAGAGCAGGUCAGUUCGUUUGGCCAGAUUUUUGCAUGAUAAUAGUUCCCUAGUAUGUAACAUGUGUGUGUACACUGUCGAUGCAUUGUUUCUUCCAUUGUAUAUUUAAUGGUGUGCAGAGUGGAUGGAAGAAAUGAUCGCGCAAUUGAUGAUGCUUUAGAGUAGGCACUACAUGGGCAAUAAAAUCAGGCUAGUGAUGAGUUCCGCGACUUGGGAAAGUUUUAGUGGAAUAAUCCACCGACGUUCAAGGGUAGGUAUGACCCAGAGGGUGCUCAUACAUGGCUGAAAGAGAUUGAAAAUAUUUUCCGAUUAAUGGCAUGUACUGAAGAGCAGAAGGUAUUGUUUGGUACUCACAUGUUGUCUGAAGAAGCUGAGGAUUGGUGGGAUAGCGCAUGCCAGAGACUAGAGGUUACUUGUACUGAGGUUACAUGGGUUAUAUUCAGACUGUAGUCUCUGGAGAAGUACUUCCUUGAGGAUGUGCGUAGCAAGAAGGAGAUUGAAUUCCUUGAGUUGAAGAAAGUAAUUCGACGGUUGCAUAGUAUGGUGUAAAGUUUGAGAAGCUAGUGAGUUAUGUACACAUUAUAAUAGUGAUGUUGACGAGGGUUCAAAAUGAAUCAAGUUUGAAAGUGGGAUGUGUAACACUCCGAUAAAAUAUGAUAAUUAUUUAAUUUAAGUUUAAUAGUAUAUUAUGAUGAUAAUAUGAAUGAGAGGGUAUUAUUUUUCAAAAUAAAAGAUAAACCAUUCAUAUAUAUUAUUAUUAUCCGCUUCUCUAAUCCCUUUCUGUUUAAUUAUCUGUUUUCAAUUUAUAUCUUUGGGUAUUGUCUUUUAAUUCACAAUUAAAAGUAACAACACUUGAAGAUUUUCGAAAGCAGCGUGUUUUCAGAAUCGAGAUUCCAGCUUUUAUGUUAACUGUAAAGUUCGUUUGAAAUUAGCCACAAAAAGGUGGAUUUGUUUUGAAUCCCCUUCAUGGCUAUUCUGUCAUUUCUUCUUAAUUCAAGGUUUGAAAGGAUUGGUCUAUUUAAAAUCCCUUCUAUAUCCCUUGUUUGAAUUUUUUUCCUUUAAUUAACCUGUUCUUCAAUCUUAGGAAAGAUUCGGUAUAAGUUUUCCAGCGAAAAAUAUGGCAGCUAUGAUGAAUUUAUACAAUUAACAUACAACUUCGCUUAGAUCCAUAUCAGAUCCUUUUAGAGGUGAAUUAAUGGAGUUCUUGAACCUUUUAUCAAAAGUCCUUCUCCGAAUUCAACACCAUCACCUUCUUCUUUCUUCUUCUUUCCAUUCUUUCUUUACCAAUGCAUGGUUGUUCAACAUCGAUGACCCAGGAUUACCACGGUUAUCGAAUAGCCAGAACUUCAUAGGCUUUGUUCAAAAACCAUCUUUUCUUCUCUUCUUGGUCUUACAUUUGACCCAUCUCAAAUCAACCAGAUCCAAAGCACAAAUCCAACACCAAAAACUUUACCUUGCAACAACAUCAACAACAGCAACGUCUCAGUAACACUCUUAGCUCCUCAGUCCGAAGCAAUCCCUAUGAAGCACGUGGGUAAUACUCCUUCAAAACC
rnacentral:lncRNA from 1 species